GGACGGCUGCGGCAGGCACCUCCGCUGAGCACCUACUGUGUACCGAGCAGCGGCCUGGGGCCUGGGGGCUGCGGCUCAGAGCCGGGCUUGGCUCAAGAGCUCCACCAAGUGGGCGAUCUCGGCCCGAGCCGCGGCCUGGGCUCCGCGGGCUGUGCAUACAGCAGGCGCCGGGCCCCGUCGAAAUGCACUCGGGGACACUGCUCUGCAGGGUAUACAGCAGGUAUACCCUGUAUACAGAGUAUACAGCAGGUCCUGCACCCGCGGGCACUGCAUGUAGUGCUCCAAGCCUCCCGGGGUGCCUGCAGCCAGCAGUCCCUGCCCGCUGCCAGGAGGGGACCCGGGUCGCUGAGUCCUGCGGGGAGCCCUGCGCAGGGAGGAGGGGUGCAGGGCAAGGUGCAUACAGCCGUCACUGCCGCUUGGGCCCCGGCGCCUUGGGGAUGGAACUUCGUGCCAGACCGGGAUGAGGCGAAGAUACAGAGUCCUGCCCGCCCCCCCUCCGCGCCCCCUCGGGCCCGGCCUCCCCCCUCUGUCCUCUGGCCGCAGCUCAGCUGGACUCAGCAGAUUCCCAGAGAAGGAGGCCAAGAGCACAGCUCCGCACCCUCGCGCAGGUGGAGGGGUGCUUACGCAGCGGGGACUCCGGGUGGGCCGCCCCUCGGCCCCCCUCUGCGGUGCCCUGGCUCAGGCCCCCAACAGGCGGGGGUGCGGACCCCUACCCGAGGCGGGGCCGGGGGAUCUGGUGGACAUAGGCCCCCCGGAUGUAGGUCAGCGGGGCUCCUGCAGCCUUGGGCCUCAGGAGAUGCGCUCGUGAACACCCCGUGGCCUCCACCUGCCCCCACCCCGGGCCUCCUGUGAUCCCUCAGGCCGGCCACAUGGUCCCUGGGACACUUGGUCCUCCUGAGGACACUGCAGGGAGGCUCCUGCCACCCCUGGCCCAGAACCCUGGCUCCCUGGAGCUGCCCAGGGGUGAACCGUGGCGCCCACUUGCCGGGCCUGAACAGUGAGGUGCAGAGUGGCACAGCCGCCGGCAGCAGGACCUGGGGGCACGGGGACCGCUUCCCACCCUGUCUGAAUGGGCGUCCUGGCUUCCUUCUGGAGGGG
rnacentral:lncRNA from 1 species